CAUUCGCUAAUCUUGGACGUGUUUUUAGAUGAACGAUUCCUUUGAGCAAGUGAAGGGCAGGGCAAACAAAUUGAAGCCAGAGAUGUUGGCAAUGGAUAUAAAGACCUAGGAAGAGGAACACGCAGAUCUUCUAUCAGAUAAGGCUGGAGAAUCUGAGUUUUGGGAAUGCCUAAAGGACCAAAUUGAGCAAGUUAAGGGACUUUCCUAUGUGCUGAAAUGUUGAUUGUGGAGAGGAAUACAAGGUGGAAGUGAA